rnacentral:lncRNA from 1 species
CACUUUUCAAUAGCUGUUUCUGAUUCCCACUCACUGUAGUUUCUUUGGGUCUAAUAGGAACCAAACCUGGAGGACUGUUUAAAAAUACAGUUUCAAUUGAAAUGAACAAGAGGGUAUAUCUAAGGACCAGGAUGUGCCAAUGCUACAAUUCCAUACUUCAGAAUGUGUCUGCAGCAAGCAAAUCAUCUCAGACCAAAGAAUGAGGAAACAGACACUGAGCACUUUGCCUUACAAACAAGGAAUUCUAAUAUCCUGCUGUUUUCAAUGAUGGGCAGAAGGAAUAUUCAUAAUGGCACAAUGAUGGUUCAAUUUAAUAGAGAGACUUUAGGUCUUGUGGAAAUCCAACUGUGAAGACUAAAUAAGAGAAGGUAUGUGGAUGGGGCUUUGAAAAAACGUAACACUAAUCAGACAUGAGAUGUUUUAUCAGGUUCAUUUCCAACAUGGCAUAUGUGUCAAUUUUGGCUUCACCAACUAUUAAAUAUUAAUUGCCUUUUGCUAAAUAUAGGAUAGAGUCUUACUAAAUAUCAACCCCCAAGUGUUGUUUAGAUGCACAGCCACACCCUCUUUGAGUGUUUUUAUGCUCUAUUAAGGAAUGUACCACAGGCACAGAAUGAAAAGCUUGGUGUCAUUUAGCAAGUUGUGGUAAUUUGUAGGCUUUCAUCUGUACAGACUUGAAGUCUUUCCAUCCCUCUGCUACGUUAUCCCUGCCACUUUGCACGGCUCUGUUCCUUUCUAUCUCCUCCUCCCUCACAUUUGGUUUUGUGCUUCAGAUUCAGAGAAACCAAAAGUCAAAACAAAAUGUUCAGAAUUGCUGACUCCUCUUCUGUAACCAUUUUUUAAAUCCAGUAUUCACAGGAAGACAUGGUGCUCUCCAGACUUUGGUCUGAAUUCCCUUAAAAUACUGGCAAAGUUCAUGAAACUCUGAAUGAAUGUGAGCCAAGCUAUAGAUAUCUAGAAAAAAAUCUCACUUUUGUAGAAGCAUCAGAACAAAUAUUAUUUAACAAAAUAGUUUCAACUUUAAACCAUCUGUGGAGUACUUAACAUUUAAUAAGGUUCUGCUAUCUCUAUUUUAUAGCAAUAAAAUAGUGAUGUAAUUUAUAUUUUGUUUUGAG